GCCAGUGUGGUUUAAUGGUUUGGGCAUUGGGCUACAACUCUGGAGACCAGGGUUCAAAUCCCUGUUCAGCCA